rnacentral:rRNA from 1 species
AUUGAACGCUGGCGGCAGGCCUAACACAUGCAAGUCGAGCGAGCGGCGGACGGGUGAGUAAUGUAUGGGGACUGCCCGAUAGAGGGGGAUAAAUACUGGAAACGGUGGCUACUACCGCAUACUAUCGGAUAACCCAUAUGGGAUUAGCUAGUAGGUGGGGUAAAGGCUCACCUCGGCGACGAUCUCUAGCUGGUCGGAGAGGAUGAACAGCCACACUGGAAUUGGGACACGGCCCAGACUCCUACGGAGGCAGCAGUGGGGAAUAUUGCACAAUGGGCGCAAGCCGGAUGCAGCCAUGCCGCGUGUAUGAAGAAGGCCUUAGGGUUGUAAAGUACUUUCAGCGGGGAGGCGUUACCCGCAGAAGAAGCACCGGCUAACUCCGUGCCAGCAGCCGCGGUAAUUC